AAGAUCAAGCAAUUCAAACUAGCACACUGAUUAGUGCUCUGUCCUGUGCACUGAGGUUUGAGGAGGUCGUACUCAGAGCCCCUGCAUAUUCUGUGUUGUCACAGUGACAGAAGAGCUGUACAUUCCCCAGGGAGCUGUGGCAUCUUGUAUCCAUGGAAGAGGAGGUAAGGCUGGAAAGCAAAGGCAGGAUUUUGCUUUCCUUUUGGCAAAGGCUGGCUAGAGCAAGGCAAGCUUGGUUGUAGCUCUGAUUUAAGUAACACUGGGGUGAUAAAGCUGGACAGUGUCUGAAUUACCUCUGCUGAAACCCAAGGAGUUAUUCUGUAGCUGAUGGCUACUGCCAGGAUUAAUUAGGUUUGGGGAAGAUUUUAGCUUGUUUUGACCAAGUGUCUAAUGGAACAUGAAGCAAGGAAACAGAUUGUGUCUGUGGCAAAGAACAGUGGGGAAUGGGGAGGAGAAGCACCGAGAGGAGGUUUUGCAGGAGUCACAAAAUGAGUAGAAUAAACAGAUUUCAGACCUGUCCAGUGUACCUGGCCUUGUGUUCAGCCCCUUAGAUGGUCAGCGGUGCCAUCUUGUGUUAAGUGGGUGGUAUUUUUGGGAAAAGAUGGAUACAGAUUCCUACCAGCCCUUGGGAAAGGGUUCUAGAAGAGCUCUUGAAAACUCCUGGUGUGAAAUGAGAAGAACAGUGAAGCCCAGAAGUCAAUGAGACAGAAAGGCAGA